rnacentral:rRNA from 1 species
AUUGAACGCUGGCGGCAUGCUUUACACAUGCAAGUCGAACGGUAACAGGUUAAGCCGACGAGUGGCGUACGGGUGAGUAAUGCAUCGGAACGUGCCCGAUCGUGGGGGAUAACGCAGCGAAAGCUGCGCUAAUACCGCAUACGAUCUGAGGAUGAAAGCGGGGGACCGUAAGGCCUCGCGCGAUCGGAGCGGCCGAUGUCAGAUUAGGUAGUUGGUGGGGUAAAGGCCCACCAAGCCGACGAUCUGUAGCUGGUCUGAGAGGACGACCAGCCACGCUGGGACUGAGACACGGCCCAGACUCCUACGGGAGGCAGCAGUGGGGAAUUUUGGACAACGGGCGAAAGCCUGAUCCAGCAAUGCCGCGUGCAGGAAGAAGGCCUUCGGGUUGUAAAGUGCUUUUGUACGGAGCGAAAAGGUCCUUUCUAAUACAAGGGGCUCAUGACGGUACCGUAAGAAUAAGCACCGGCUAACUACUUGCCAGCCGCCGCAGUAACAC